rnacentral:rRNA from 1 species
CCAAGGAGGCAGCAGGCGCGCAAAUUACCCMCCUCCCCGGCACGGGGAGGUAGUGACAAAAAAUAACGAUACGGGACUCUUUUGAGGCCCCGUAAUCGGAAUGAGUACACUUUAAAUCCUUUAACAAGGAUCCAUUGGAGGGCAAGUCUGGUGCCAGCAGCUGCGGUAAUUCCAGCUCCAAUAGCGUAUAUUAAAGUUGUUGCGGUUAAAAAGCUCGUAGUUGGUUCUGCGUGCUACGCUGUCGGUUCGCCGCCUGCCGGUGUAACUGGCAUGCCGUGGCAUGUCCUGUCGGUGGCGAACGAGCGCCUUGUCAGGUGACGAUCAGUUCUCUGUUCGUAGGCCGGGGGUUCAACUCGUUCGUCUGCUCUAUCCUACCGCGGUGCUCUUCACCGAGUGUCGAGGUAGGCCGACACGUUUACUUUGAACAAAUUAGAGUGCUCAAAGCAGGCUGAAAUCUCUGCCUGAAUAGUGGUGCAUGGAAUAAUAAAACAGGACCUUGGUUCUAUUUUGUUGGUUCUUAAGAACACAAGGUAAUGAUCAAUACGGACAGGCGGGGGCAUUCGUAUUGCGACGUUAGAGGUGAAAUUCUUGGAUCGUCGCAAGACGCACAAGAGCGAAAGCAUUUGCCAAGUAUGUCUUGAUUGAUCAAGAACGAAAGUUAGAGGUUCGAAGGCGAUCAGAUACCGCCCUAGUUCUAACCAUAAACGAUGCCAGCCAGCGAUCCGCCGAUGUUCCUCCGAUGACUCGGCGGGGAGCUUCUCCCCGGGAAACCAAAGCUUUUGGGUUCCGGGGGAAGUAUGGUUGCAAAGCUGAAACUUAAAGGAAUUGACGGAAGGGCACCACCAGGAGUGGAGCCUGCGGCUUAAUUUGACUCAACACGGGAAACCUCACCAGGCCAGGACAUUGGAAGGAUUGACAGAUUGAUAGCUCUUUCUUGAUUCAGUGGGUAGUGGUGCAUGGCCGUUCUUAGUUGGUGGACCGAUUUGUCUGGUUAAUUCCGAUAACGAACGAGACUCUAGCCUAUUAACUAGGCGGUUUCCGGUGUCCUCGCCACCGGCGACACUCAUUCUUCUUAAGGGGACAGGCGGCUUACAGCCGCACGAGAUUGAGCAAUAACAGGUCUGUGAUGCCCUUAGAUGUCCUGGGCCGCACGCGCGCUACACUGAAGGAAUCAGCGUGUGCCUCCCUGGCCGAAAGGCCCGGGUAAUCCGCUGAACCUCCUGCGUGCUAGGAAUUGGGGCUUGCAAUUGUUCCCCAUGAACGAGGAAUUCCCAGUAAGCGCGAGUCAUAAGCUCGCGUUGAUUACGUCCCUGCCCUUUGUACACACCGCCCGUCGCUACUACCGAUUGAAUGAUUUAGUGAGGUCUUCGGACUGGCGGUAAUCCCUA